rnacentral:rRNA from 1 species
UACGUAGGGGGCGAGCGUUGGCCGAAUGCACUGGGCGUAAAGCGCGCGUAGGCGGUCUUUUAAGUUGGGGGUGAAAUGCCGAGGCUCAACCUCGGAACUGCCUCCAAAACUGGGAGUCUUGAGGUAUGGAGAGGGAAGUGGAAUUCCAGGUGUAGCGGUGAUAUGCGUAGAUAUCUGGAGGAACACCCGUGGCGAAGGCGGCUUCCUGGUCAUAUCCUGACGCUGAGGUGCGAAAGACAGGGGAGCGAACGGG